rnacentral:tRNA from 1 species
GGAGGGGUGGCCGAGUGGCCGAAGGCGCCGGACUGAUAAUUCGGUGCAGUGUAAAAGCUGUCAAGGGUUCGAAUCCCUUUCCCUCGC